rnacentral:rRNA from 1 species
UACGGAGGAUGCGAGCGUUAUCCGGAUUCAUUGGGUUUAAAGGGUGCGUAGGCGGCCAUAUAAGUCAGUGGUGAAAGUUUGCGGCUUAACCGUAAAAUUGCCAUUGAUACUGUAUGGCUUGAGUGUAGAUGAAGUGGGCGGAAUGAGUAGUGUAGCGGUGAAAUGCUUAGAUAUUACUCAGAACACCGAUUGCGAAGGCAGCUCACUAAACUACAACUGACGCUGAGGCACGAAAGCGUGGGGAUCGAACAGG